rnacentral:rRNA from 1 species
AUGAACGCUGGCGGCGUGCCUAAUACAUGCACGUCGAGCGAACGGACGAGAAGCUUGCUUCUCUGAUGUUAGCGGCGGACGGGUGAGUAACACGUGGAUAACCUACCUAUAAGACUGGGAUAUCUUCGGGAAACCGGAGCUAAUACCGGAUAAUAUUUUGAACCGCAUGGUUCAAAAGUGAAAGACGGUCUUGCUGUCACUUAUAGAUGGAUCCGCGCUGCAUUAGCUAGUUGGUAAGGUAACGGCUUACCAAGGCAACGAUGCAUAGCCGACCUGAGAGGGUGAUCGGCCACACUGGAACUGAGACACGGUCCAGACUCCUACGGGAGGCAGCAGUAGGGAAUCUUCCGCAAUGGGCGAAAGCCUGACGGAGCAACGCCGCGUGAGUGAUGAAGGUCUUCGGAUCGUAAAACUCUGUUAUUAGGGAAGAACAUAUGUGUAAGUAACUGUGCACAUCUUGACGGUACCUAAUCAGAAAGCCACGGCUAACUACGUG